CUCUACUUUGUUCAGAUGUUGAAAUCUAGUGACCUAACUUAUUUCUCAAAAUGAGUUGCCAAUUUGUUAUAUAAUUGAUUUAUGAAACACUGACUAGACAGCUAGUAUAAGCUAGUCUGGCUAAAAUGCUGUUAGCAGUACCGCGCGUGACAAAUUGAGGAUUCGUUUUCCAGGCAUUUGGAAUAUCGCACAGAAACACAUUCAAAUGAAUGUGAUAUAUUGCCCAGCCCUUAGUGUGUGUGGUGUUUUGGUUUUCAAACUAGGUAGCUUUUCUUCUGAUUGCAGCGAGCCAGAGUCACUGAAGGAGAUCUGUGCUAGGGGUUGCCAGGAGGGCACCAGGCUCCAUCUGCCCCAGCCAGCCAGUCACUGUAGACAUGACUUCAUUUAGCCAGACCCUGUACAAAUGAUGGCUGGUAAUGAGAGUAGUCUAAGUCCCUAUUAGAGAUGGGAGGCACUCCAACAUAUUUAUUUAGUUAAGUUUCUGUUUGAUUUUCAAAAUACAUUUAGAAAAUCAUUGUGUGUGCUAAUGGUGCAUCAUUUCUGCUUACUGGUAGGCUUCUUAAUGAUAGCCUUUUUUUUUUUUAAAGCCCAGUUUGGCUGCUAGAGGAACAUAUUUGUAGAUGCACUAAUUUGUCUGGUAUCGUUGUCUCCGCACUUGAACCAUCUAAUGAUGGCUUUUUGGCCUGAAACUUGUUUUUUAAACUAGCUAGAACUUGAUAGAAUCAAGUCCUAUUUUGCUAUUGAGUGAGUUCCGCCUGUCCUUUCUCAAUGAAAAGCUUACCUUACCUUACGUUCAAUGAGAGUGAGAAGAGUCUAACUGAAGGUCUAAAGCCGUCUAUAGUCUGACUCUACAUUACUUCACUCCCUGCUGCUCUCUAGACAAUGUCAGGAACUCCGCUCCGGUAGUUGGGACUAGUCCAGGCAGCCAUAUUGUUCACAGAACCUAACACCACCGCCCACCUCGCUGUGCUUUGUAAUGAACAUUUUUCUGAUUUGUAAAUUAUUUGUAUUUGCUGCAUGUGUUUAUACAGUCCCAUAUCACGUGUGCGCAUAUAGAGAAAUCUUUAAUCUAGGUAGAAUAUGCAAUCUCACACUCAAUUUGAAUCAAACAAGGAAUUAGACUAGAAUGUAGUAAUAGAAUAGUUAAGUAGUUUUACUGAUAGGAAAUGUAGUCCACUGUUAUUUAGAAAUGCAUGAAAUGUAAUGUUUUGUUAUGGCAGAGUUGUGUUCCAUUAUUGUAAUUUCCUUGACUGAGCCCCACAUGGAGAGCUCCCCGUACGGAACAGUGUACCUGUCCCCUCCGCCGGACAACAACUGGAGAAGAACCAACUCGGACUCGGCUCUUCACGAGUGCCAUGAACCCCAGGACCCUUUGGCAUGAACCAGCAGAUGGGCAGAGGGCCCCAGCGCAACGCCAGUGUGAACGAGGCCGAGGUGGACGGCUCUGGAGAUGUGUUCUCCUUCCCAUCCCUGUCUAAUGAGGAGGGUCUGAUGGGUGUCAGCAAGCCCCUGCCAAAGCAACUGUGGGAGGCCAAGAAGGUUCAAUCCCCUCUCAUCACGGCCAAAAUCCUGUGAAGUGCCUGGAAUCAAGUGA